rnacentral:SRP_RNA from 1 species
CCGCACUAACCGGGGAGAUAGCGGUGCCCUGCACCUGCAAUCCGCUAAAGCAGGGGUGAAUCCCGGCCCCCGGAAGCGUUCUGUGUCGCCUGACCCAGGUAAGCAGUGAUGAUGGAUCGGUCCCGCGCAACGCUCGUCCGUGAACCGUGUCAGGCGGGGAACCGAGCAGCACUAAGCGGAAAUGAACGUGUGCCGUGGGGGUGCCGUUCCUGAGCCGGCUGUCUGGGUAACGGACAUAGGGUGUCUUACAAAGGCCGGUGUGCGG